UUUAAUUCGAAGCAACGCGAAGAACCUUACCUAAGCUUGACAUCCCAAUGACAUCUCCUUAAUCGGAGAGUUCCCUUCGGGGACAUUGGUGACAGGUGGUGCCUGGUUGUCGUCAGCUCGUGUCGUGCGAUGUUGGGUUAAGUCCCGCAACGAGCGCAACCCUUGUCUUUAGUUGCCAUCAUUAAGUUGGGCACUCUAGAGAGACUGCCAGGGCUAACCUGGAGGAAGGUGGGGAUGACGUCAAAUCAUCAUGCC
rnacentral:rRNA from 1 species